rnacentral:lncRNA from 1 species
CAUCCUAACUCCUAUGAGAUUUAUUCAACUUCCAAGUGAUUCUCCACUACUUUAUGUAUCACAAUCAAGCUUCUUACUUCGCGAUUCAUCCUGGUUUGAUUAGAAUGACAAAGAAAUUCUCAUAUUCCCAAACAGAAAAACUGGGAUCGCCUGAUUUGAAAGUGGGAUAGCUUCUUCAUCCUAACUCCAAUGAGAUUUAUUCAACUUCCUGGUUAUUCUCCACUACUCUAUGUAUCAAAAUCAAGCUUCUUACAUCACGAUUCAUCUUGGUUUGAUAAGAAUGACAAAAAGUUGUCAUAUUCCCAAACACAAAAACUGGGAUCACCUGAUUUGAAAGUGGGAUAGCUUCU